CGCUCCUCCCCUGCCGGCAGGGCCGCGGCAGCCCCCGCUCCCCUCUUUGUCACUGAAGCACAAAGGUCCUGGGCGGCCCGGGAGCUCCGUCCGCCCCGCCGUGACACUCGGCCCCGGUGUGGCGGGGAUCGGGGCAGCACUGAAGAGUCUGUGGCGUCCUCAGUGCAGAGCGAUGGGAACGCCAGGCUGGCGAGCAGCACCGCUCCCCCUCUGCGUGUCCUCCCAGCACUAGGGCAGAGCCCAGCAGAUAGGCUCAGCCCAGCGCUGCCGCUAUUACCUCAUCCGAGGGUGUCAGACACCGCAGGAACAGCUCCAGAGCCCUUCCCUCGGGAAGCUUCACCGCCGGUGGGACGGAGUGCGGC